rnacentral:lncRNA from 1 species
UAGUCUAGGACCUGUAUAUGAGUUUGUAUGCAUUUCAUUUAGGACAGAUAAUCUCAACUGUUUUAGGGUAAGUUGACCAUGACGGUCAACAUGGUAACGCUGCCCGAACCCCAAUCCGGGGCGAAACGUCCCGAACUGACCACACCCAAAAACGACGCUUUCGCCAGACUGCUAUCUACCAAACCAUAAAAGCUUUGGCUAUUCUGAGGUGCUUAUAUGGUUCAGAGAUGGUACUUUUGGGGAUGGUCAUUGGUAAGUGUGAAAUGCCUAGCACUAAUAUUUCACAAGAAAAUGACCAUGCAAUAAUCAUAGUUAAACGUCAAUUUGUGGCUUGCAACUUCAGAUAAACAGCAGUGG